rnacentral:rRNA from 1 species
UACGGAGGGAGCUAGCGUUGUUCGGAAUUACUGGGCGUAAAGCGCACGUAGGCGGCUAUUCAAGUCGGGGGUGAAAGCCCGGGGCUCAACCCCGGAACAGCCCUCGAAACUAGAUAGCUAGAAUCUUGGAGAGGUCAGUGGAAUUCCGAGUGUAGAGGUGAAAUUCGUAGAUAUUCGGAAGAACACCAGUGGCGAAGGCGACUGACUGGACAAGUAUUGACGCUGAGGUGCGAAAGCGUGGGGAGCAAACAGG